rnacentral:rRNA from 1 species
AGCAGCCGCGGUAAUUCCAGCUCCAAUAGCGUAUAUUAAAGUUGUUGCAGUUAAAAAGCUCGUAGUUGAAUUUCGGGAUCAAUUUAUUGGUCGUGCCAUUGUACGUACUGGUAUUAUUGAUUUCUACCUUCUGACGAACCAUGAUGUCAUUAAUUUGGUGUCUUGGGGAAUCAGGACUGUUACUUUGAAAAAAUUAGAGUGUUUAAAGCAGGCUCACGCUUGAAUACAUUAGCA